AUACGAAGGGUGCAAGCGUUACUCGGAAUUACUGGGCGUAAAGCGUGCGUAGGUGGUUGGUUAAGUCUGUCGUGAAAGCCCUGGGCUCAACCUGGGAAUGGCGAUGGAAACUGGGCGACUAGAGUGUGGCAGAGGGUAGUGGAAUUCCUGGUGUAGCAGUGAAAUGCGUAGAGAUCAGGAGGAACAUCCGUGGCGAAGGCGACUGCCUGGGCCAACACUGACACUGAGGCACGAAAGCGUGGGGAGCAAACAGGAUUAGAUACCCUGGUAGUCCACGCCCUAAACGAUGCGAACUGGAUGUUGGGUGCAAUUUGGCACGCAGUAUCGAAGCUAACGCGUUAAGUUCGCCGCCUGGGGAGUACGGUCGCAAGACUGAAACUCAAAGGAAUUGACGGGG
rnacentral:rRNA from 1 species